UUGACUCUCAAAUGAGAAUCGUUAUGAUUAUCACAACUGGUCGCGAGAUCAGCCGAUAACUGAAAGACCAUUGGUUCGGACUCUCAGAUUAUCUCCUCAUCAGGCUAAUCACGGUUCACGGUUAUUUGACCCGGCUCUUGCCGGGUCUUUUUUUG
rnacentral:sRNA from 1 species